UACGGAGGGUGCAAGCGUUAUCCGGAUUCACUGGGUUUAAAGGGUGCGUAGGUGGGCUGGUAAGUCAGUGGUGAAAUCUCUGAGCUUAACUCGGAAACUGCCGUUGAUACUAUUAGUCUUGAAUAUUGUGGAGGUAAGCGGAAUAUGUCAUGUAGCGGUGAAAUGCUUAGAUAUGACAUAGAACACCGAUAGCGAAGGCAGCUUGCUACACGAGGAUUGACGCUGAGGCACGAAAGCGUGGGGAGCAAACAGG
rnacentral:rRNA from 1 species